rnacentral:sRNA from 1 species
UUAUCAUGGAAAUCAAAAUCCUUCUGAACAGGUACAGCGUGGGCAGCAGGAGAGCAAGUUUCCCCUCCCCUCCCACACCCAUGUGCCUUGACCCUGACCUCUACUGGUGUGACAGGUUAGUUUAGUCACCAUCAUGGUCCACUCACUCU